GCCCAGCCUUGUAUGAGCCCCUUGUUUGCAUAUAGUGUGUGUGCUUGCUCUCUUGUGCUUGUGUUUGCUUGAUUGAUGUUUAGGCUAGCUUGCUUCCUGUGCGAGUUAGGAUUAGAGACCUCAACAUAGGGAUCGCAUGCAUGACAACUUCUAGGCUCGAGUCGUAGUCUCCCUAGUAGCCUGUUAUCUCCCUUGUCUCUCGUUAGGAUAUAAGUUCUUUUCCUGUUAAGAGGAACUACGUCGCC
rnacentral:lncRNA from 1 species